UCUCAAUUCUAGGUAAGUUAUUCCUUUAUUUUAAAUGAUUAUGUGGUGGAACCUAGUGAUUAGUGCCCAGUAGAGCAUUGUAAUUAAAAAACAAAACAAAGUAAAUACUGAAAAAGGGUUCGAGUAACCUGUAUAAAGAUAAAUAAUUACAAAUUUAAAAGAUAGAUUUCCAAAUGAUACUGCCAAAUGGCUUCAUCAAUUGUUUUGUCUAUACUCCCAUAGUUAUCAGUUAACCACCACAAACUUAAAGGGUUACCCCAACCCAUAAACACCCCCCAAAAAAACAAACAUACUCUUUACCUUAUAAAUGCACUAUGGGAUAUAAGUAUUAGGUCCCCCCUGGAACAAACUUGAAAAAAAAAGCUUUGAAUUUACCUUAAUCCAGCGCUGGGCACAGAUUCCAGUGCUGAUCUUCCUUUUCAUAGAGAAGCCUACAAUUGGACCCAUUCGCUGGCUCAGAGCAAAUGUGCACAUUCGGGGCCGGAGAGUCGAGAGAAGGGGGUAGUGGGUAGGAGGAGGGACGUUUUCUCUCAUUUCUGGCAGGAGGGAGCACCACAGGGUGGGAGGGGGUAGCAAUCUUUCCUUUGCAGGUGUUCUGCCUGCCAGGGAGAAUAUUAUUAUGUCUCUUGCCAGCCAGUUGUGCACUCUGAUGACAGACAUAAAAUAUGUACAUAAUUGACAUUAGACUGCUUGAAACAGAGUUCUUUGCCACCAAUAUGACAUGUACUGGGCAUGCAACUUGCCCCCAGUACACAAGUUCCAAAAACUCUUUUAAGUUUUAAGCCACCCUUCCCCCCAUAGCCAUCCCCUUUCCCCAUAGCCAUCUUCCCUUUUCACAAAACAAAAUCAUCUUUGUUGGAUCAAUAGUGUAGCACAGUAUAUAAGAGUUACAUCUCUCAUUUCUGCUCUGCCAAGGCCUAAGAUGACUAUCUGUGAUGAUAGUCUCCCCUUCCUGUCUGGCAAAGAAUUGGCGUAUGCAUAUUAAUUAUUGCGAAUGUGCCAAUCAAAUGUGGCGAUUGCCCAACGGAAUGCUUUUUUCUAUGAACAAAGGAAAAUAAAACUUUCCAGGUAAGCAGAUUGCAGAUAUGUCAGCCAACCUCCAUUAGAACAAUUUUUUCCAUCUCCUCUUUUCCAUUUUAAGCCAUGUCCUUCUCCACCACCUUUAGUAAGUAGAAGUCCAAGGGACAGAGUAAAUUUCUUCCUCAUGAGAUUGCUGGCCUACAGAGUAAAGAGAGGUGAUAGACCAGGUGAUAGCAGAAAAAGGGCAGAAGGGUGAUAGAGGCCAAGAGAUCUGUAAACAAAAGCAGGAGAAAAGAAUAGUAGGGGUAGAAGCCUGGUGACCGAAAUAGAAGGGAAAAUGUCAAGGAGACUGAGAGAUGAAGCCAGAAGGGGACAAAGUAGGGAGGAUGUGAAAGGAAUCGACAAAGUUAUCACCUUAAUCACCAUAACCAUCAUGUGUGUCAAGUGACAUCAUUGGCAAUGCUUCUCCUGAGACAAGCACGCACGGCUCCAAUCUGAAACUCGUCAUGGUCAUUUAGUGGUUUAGCUCACAGUUUAGAUGUCUGUAGUGAUUUAGAUCUGAAAGAUGAUCUGUGCUUGCUGCAAUGAAUAAGCCAACAAACAGUUUAGAUUAAGGUGUACAAUUAACAUAUUUGAAGGUAUAGAGAUUUUUUCUACUCAUUCAAUAUGGUGGGGACAUUGAACAUUUAAACACUUACAUAGAGAUUUGAGAACAAUAACUAAGGAGUGUUCUUCAGUUUCAUUAUGUGUGAGAUAAGAACUUGUAUACAUUUAAGUUGGGGCAUAAACUGGUAUUACUGGUUACCUGACUGGUCUCUGUUGGAACUUGGAAGCCACAAGUAGUCUUACCAUGUACAGAGACAAAAACACAAACUGUAGAUCUGCCGAAUUAACAUUUUGUAGAUUUUUAUAGAAGCUAGCAGCCUACCUACUGUCUUGUAGUUGUUGUACAGCCUCCCAAGCAGUAUAUAUUCUGUAAACUGCUCUGACGUGGUAAUGAAGGACAAUUUGUAAUACAGUAAACAUCUGGCUCACAGACCAAGCAAUAUCUACCUCCCUUUUCCCUUAAAGCCUAUAGCAUCAGGAUGCACAUCCUCAGGCCUCAGGGCCAAAUCCAGUCUGUGGAUGUAUGACCACUGGUGUGCAGUGUAUUUAGUAUUAUCAUUUAGGGCUUUACAAUUAUAGAAAGAGGAAUUAUAUAGGUGAAAAAGGCCCUGCUCAAAUGAGCUUACAAUCUGUGAGGAUUUGAGGUAGGCAGAUAUAUAUCAUUAGGUGACUUGCCCAAUGACAAUUAGUGAUAAGGUGGUCUGACCAAGAUUUGAUCCUGGUGUUCCCAAUACUAAGGCUGUGGUGUUACCACUGCUCUGCAUAGUGUACUAAAUUAUACAGUGCAACUACGGAGCAUGUGCACCUAUCAUCAAAAAAAAAUUGUAUCACCACAGUCAGCCAUCAUUAUGUGAGACAUGGAAAAAGGUCUCUUGCUCAACUUUAUGGCUCGGCGCUGGGUGUGAAGGAUGAGAGGCAGGGACUGGAGCUGACCUUACAUCCCCUGUUCUCUCCUCACACACAGAGCUGUAUGUGUGAAGGGAAGGGAGCAGUCUGGCACAGAAAGCAGGCAAGUCCUGGUAUGCUGCUUGAGGGAGGACUGACACUGUAAAAUGGGGUACUGUGGAGAGACAAAUGGAGACAAAAUGUGAUGGAGAGAGAUACAAGGCAGAGGGUGAUAGGGAGAUAAAGAAGUUAAGGGGGUGAUAGGGAAUGACACCUGGGAAGGGGGUGAUGGGGAAAGACACUAGGGAAGGGAUGAUUGGGGAAGGGCAAGCUGGAUGUUGGCAUGUUUCUGGGCGCAAUUUGAGGCUCGAAUCAUGGCAGCAACACAGUGCCAGGACAGCGGAAGUAAGAGGGAAGGUGAAGGGGCUUGUGAGCCACCUUCGGGCGCAUCUUCCUGCCAUGCUGUUAAGUUCCCCGUAUUGAGCCCGCCUGGGUUGAGAGCCACCAGGGAUAUCCUCCCAAAGCAUCACUCACAGAGGUGGAAGACCUAACGGUACAGGUGGCGAACAUCCAUCACGGGAUUUUGCUGCAUCCCUGUAGGGAAGGACUUGGACUCAGAUGUGAGUCAUUGAGUCCGUGGUAUACCGAUGCAGGUCCUCAACACAGCUCGGGGCUGGAGGGAUGCCACGCUUACCCGCCACCUUGGACUGUCUCCGAGCUACUCCUGCAAGUUCCGAGCCUAGGAGUUGGCUGAUGCAGAACUAUACCCGAAAUAUCUACGUCCAGUUACACACGGUCUGCCGACAUUAUCCAUUGAUAGCUCAUAGUAUCCUAAUUUUUGUUUCAUGUUUCCUUUACCUACUUGACCUGUGAACUGCAGUGAUUUACCAGAGGGUAGUGUUAAUACGCCUAUAAUUAUGAGCCUGUUAACCCUAUAUUGAGCCUGCUACAGUUAAUCCUAGCUUUUAUGCUUACUUACUACCCUGGGAAUAUCAAUAAGACCUAUCUCAGUCAGCCCAGUACCGUGACAGUGUGUGGAGCCUGAGUGGUUAACCUCUCAUGCAAUCCUAGCUAGACGUACUGUUAUUACGUUUUCUCUUAUUAUACUACUCUCCAGCUACCUGUCAUUUUGAUCUUUAGCAUGUACUUAGCUUUGAAUAGGCAGGUGUACCUAGUAUGUUUCUUACAUAAUUUAAAAAUUAAGAAGACAUAUUAUGGAGUUUACACUCUUGUAUAUAUAUAUAUAUAUAUAUGUAUAUCUUAUUAUUAAAAUAUAUAUAUAUAUCUUAAUAAUAAGCUAAAACGGAGAGAAAAAUCAAUAUAUAUAUAUAUAUAUAUAUACAGGUUGAUGUGCUUCUAUGCUUAUGCGACUGUGCUACUGUAAUCAUGUGACUUUCUGUUUUAACUCCUGUGUGUACAUACUAUUCUUUAUCAUUGCCUUAAUAAAAAAGAGAUUGACGCAAAAAAAAAGACACAUUUGGGAAGGGGUUAUUGGCGAAGGACGUAUGCGAGGUAAGCAGGAGUAAAAUUGGGGAAGAUUAAAGUUUUUAAGGAAUUCUACAGAUUUCAUUCAGCAGCAUGCAAGCAGACAUCAGAAAGAUCAUGUUCAAGAUUCAAUCACAACCAUCUCAUUGACAUCAUAUGGCUGUGUGACCCCCAGUAAGAAUUUCGGUCACCCACCUGGCCACCUCUACAAAAAAGUUGUGCACCCCUGCUAUAGCAUAUUCCCAUCCACAGAGCAUUGAGAAAAGAAAAACACAAGUGAUUGCAGCAUAUGAGUUUAACUCAAAAUAAAACAUGGCCCAGAGGAAUAUGAUAUGCCUAUCCCAUGCUGCCUGUUGCUCUUCAGCUCAAUGGAUGUAGUUAAAACAAAGAGGAAGAAGAAAUAGAUAUUUGCACUCUGCCUGCUACUCCAUGUGGAAGACAAGUUUGCUAGAUCAAAUAGCAACUUUCAUCACAUAUCUUUCAAAAGUCCCAAAUUUUAAUUCUUGUUAGACGUGUGCAAUUCAUUUCGUUCCGAAUGUACAUUCGUAUGAAUUUCAUGCCAUUGGGACAUUCGGAUGCUUACGAAUGUUCAAUAUGCCGAAGUUCCGAAGUGACAAAGUUUCAGUAAUUCCGAAGUGCCAAACCGAAUGCUAUUGGUCCGAAUUGCGGAAGCAGACACAUUUUUUUACUUACCCGAAUUUCAGAACAGUACCGAAUUUUUUGCCCAUGCACAUCCCUAAUUCUUGUCCUGUUAUCUCAAGUUUGCUCUAUAAUGACCCACUUUUAGGGACUCCAACGUGCAGCAUUACGUGUGGUUGCACUAUGCAAACUCAACUCAAAGCAAGAAACCCUAGGUAUGUGCCACCCGACAGCAUUAUUAUUUAUUUAUGCAGCACCAACAUAUUCAGUGGCGUUGUAAAGAAUGAAUAAACAAACAUACAAGUAUUUGGUGAUAAAAUAAGCUAAGACAUUUAGAUUUGUUGCAAACUUCAAAAUAUAAUAAAGAUUGCAGAAAUCUGGCAGCCAGCAGGCCUAUUGCAAAACAGUGAACCCGUGAACCCAACAGAGAGAUAAGAUGUGGCUCUAAUAAUUGCAAUAGUUUUGAACAUUAUGUAUAUAAAUUUAAAUGAUACAUCCCGCACAGAGCUUGUUUGAGCAGAGCCCUUUAGCACCCUCUGUUCCAGUAGGUCUUCUUGAAAAUAAGUCUGUUAGUCCACCCAUUGUACAGCGCUACAGAAUUUGUUGGCACUUUAUAAAUAAUAAAAUAACAACACUGGUUUAAAGUUGCACUUGCAAGAUAUAGUAUCCAUAACCACCCCUAUAAAACCAUUAGUUAUCAUUAUGAGAGGUUAAGAGGUGAAUUUGAACUCCGCUUGCAAAAGUAUUUAGAUGAAUUUGGCUUCAUCUGUAAAAUUUUGUAAUAAAACCAGCUGCAUUGCACAAGUGAUUCCUUCUGAAAUGGCAUUUCCCCCUCUUCGGGCUGAAUGGAAUAUCCCAUCCUUGCAGCCUUUGCAUAUAUUCUCCCAAUAUGGUAAGGAUAUACAGGCUACACCAUUGCAUCAUAUGUAGCCAGGGGAGUCAGAAGGAACAAAAGAAACAUUAUGAUGUUGUAUGGUGGGGUAUAAUAUAAUGAAGUGCAGAGAGUUAUAACAAGAUCAACUUCAAAGGAGUAUACAGAAAAAGAAUCUGCUUCAAUAACAUUUUUUUUGGCUUUGUGUUUCUUGAAAUCCCCACGUGCUCUAGCAGUUCUUCUUUUCCCUGCUAUUUGCAUUGCUUUAGCUCUUCCGUACUGCACUGUUUGAAAGGCAUAUUUAUUGUGAAUUGUUAAUACUUUGUAAAUAAUAUGUACACUUUCAGGGUUGGACAAAUGUUGUACCCCCCCGCAGUUGUACUACAACUCCAAUGAUGCCUUCCAAGAUUAAAGACUGGCAAUGUAGCAUGGGAAUUGUAGUUCAAUAACAUCUGGGAGCUUUUUUUUUCUUUGCUCACACCUCUGUGAACAGAGUAGUAUAGUUUAGUUGAAAACAUCGGCUACCCAUAAGAGUUUUUUUCUCUUUUUAUAUUUACCAUAUAUUUGACUUGUCGCAGCUUGUUGGCCAAGGGAAUGCAGGGCUGUUGCAUACUGCAAGAUAUUUUCAAAACCACAAUACAUCUUAAAUUCCUUGAAAAGUGGGAGAGAAAUCAUCUCUUAAUAAACAACUUGAGUGCCAGAGGGUUUAUUUAGCAAACCAGUGCAUCAGACAUGCCACCAUCCCUCUAAUGGUUAACAGUCAGCAUUUCAGGGAUAGGUAAACAUGGCCAGUUUAUUUAAAGUUUAUUCAUUAAACUGUAGAAACUUUUGCCAAAUAACUCUGGUUUCUAUGAUUCCUUCCUUCCCUGUGCUGCAUAUUAACCCAGCACCCACAGGCUACAGGCUGUUUCUUCUCAAUUUCCUCCUUAUCAUAUCCUUACAAUCAGGGUUGUCAAAAGCUGCCCUUGAGCGCCCUUAUCCGGCCAACAGUUUCAGGGUUUUCUAAUUAAUAUGUCCAUUGUGUAUCACUGAGCAAUGUUCUCUGUAUCACCCUGGAAGCCUGUCUUGAAUGCAUGUAACAGCAGAAGCCUGUUUGACAGCACUGCCUAUUUACCAAUCAUUUCCCCGAUUAUCUAUAUUGAGUCAGAGCAUAAAAAGUUUCACAAUAUCCUAAUGAAAUAUAGCUUAUACGGUUCAUCAUAGACGUCCUCAUUAACAAAUCUCACAUUAAAAUAGCUAUUUUGCCUUCAAGGGCAUAUUUUGACCCCCAAAGCAGGGAUGAAAUCCGGGAGCCAGAUUCAGGAGGGGACUACUGGGUAUUAUGUAUGAUGCCCAAACAUAUACACACACAUAUACAAACAUGAAUACAGAGGCAAAUGCCUACAUCUACACCCACACAUAUACAGAUGUAUACACGUGUCCAAACAGAGAUAUUUAUAUCCACAUACAGAUGACAGAAACAUAUACAAUCAAAAAGAUAUAGAUGUACAGAUUCACAUAUACAACAUGGCUACAGGCAUUUAGUGUAGUGGUCAGACAUAAAGUAUCUUGACUACUUGGGGGGGAGUGAAGGGAGUGGAAGAGGGGGGACAUUUGCCCUGGUGCACCCUCCUAAAUCAUCCAUGCCCCCAAAUGUGACCUAUGUGAGGCUCUUCUUCGCAGUCACCACCAUCUUCUUUCUUCAGCUCCUGGUGCCACAUCCGCCAAGAGUCAGCAUCACUGAUGCACAAAAGUACAACACCGAGGUCUGUAGAGGUCUAUAGAGGUCCCCACAAGUUUCAACUCCCACAAUGUGCAAGAAGAUGACAGUUUCUGUGGGAACUGACAAAAUGUAACAUCGGAAGCUCUGCUUUUUGUCAAUUUAAGGCAAAAGUUGGGAAUACCUUUUGAUUACAUUGCAAUUUCAAUUAUAUUCCAAAACUGUCAGAGUAGAUUUUUGGCUUUACGGAAUACUAAUAAAGUUUCUAAAGGUGACAGGCCUGUCUAAAUGUUUUCAUUUGGCUGACAACACGCCUCUAGUGGAUUUCACGGAGACAGCCACUAAAGCUGCUUCCUCCUUAAUACUUCAAUUUUCCAAGGUCUUUAUGUUCUGUUUAAUUACUUACAGCAUAAUGUUGCCAAACACAGUUAAUGCUUCUCAUAGAAGCAAUUGGCAAACAGCAUAACUGAUGCAUCAUUGUGGGAGGAAUGGGCUGCCAAAAGUAGACUAGAAAAAAGAUGAUUUUCUUAAUGACUAAAAAACUACGGUGCUCAAUAAUCUAAAAAUAAAGGAUAAUGUUGAUUGGUCCUUAAAUCAGCACUGUUACAAAUGUGUUUCCCAUAAUGAUGGAUUGUUUUUUUUUUUUAAUUAAAUUCCAUCCCAGUCAAAAUAUAUAAAUAAUAUAAAGUAGGGACUACUUUGUCUCAUGUAGGAUGUAAGUUUUGGUAAAAUUAGGCAUUGGGUGGUGUUUCCACCACCACAUCCUGUCAUUGCAUUGGCUGAGGGCAACAUACAUCAUCAUGCAGCACAUUAGAUGCAUAUGGCUGGAUCUUCAAUAGACCCCUGUUUUGUAAUCGUGCACUUGCACAAGAGUACACUAGUGACAGCAGCUGAAGAUCUGAACAUGGAAGUUGAGAAAUUGACAGAAACAUAUACAUGCACAAAAAGCCAUUCUCUGCCCUUUUCUAAAAAAAAAAAUAAAAUAAAAAAUGAAAUGUUGACACAACUUUAUAGAAAAUAACAUGGCUUGAUAGGAGUAGUACAGUUUGGAUAACACUUGGUACAUGCUAGACUUGGUACAAGUCUUUUCAAAAUUCACAACAUAAUACUGUUACCUGAUUGUAUGUAAUAGUAAAGACCUGUUUAAAUGCUUCCAUUAAAGCAUUUCCGAUAUGCAUUUCUAAUGAUGAUGUUCUUGACUUUAAUAUGUACUGACAGAACACCUGACCCUCCUCAAAAUAUAAAGAAACAUAUACACAUCAGUAAUAGUUAACAAAAAGCAAAGUAUAUGUUUGGCCUCCAAAUCUGUGUGUCCACUUUGAGAGGUCAAAGUGUCACUGCAAGUUUAUUUUAAGUGUUGUAGUUUCUACCCUGUCCUCAGGGACGUAUCUUACACGAGGCAAACAAGGCAUCUGCCUUGGGCAGCACUUUGCAGGGGGCGGAAAAAAAAGCCGCCCCCAAACUCCCAUGCAGAUCCCUUGCUUGCCUUAGGGGGCUCAAGAGCUGGCCAGCUGGCCACUUCUGAGCCCCCCCCCACCCCCAGCGAGGCUGGUGGCGGGCAGCGAGGGAGCCUACUCACCUGAGCUCUUCCUGCUCAGCUCCCUCCGCGCCGCUUAAUGAAGCCGGGAGCUGGAAUAUGACAUCUGACCGGCUCCCGGCAUCACUAAGGGGCGCGCAAGGGAACUGAGCAGGAAGAUUAGAGCUCCCUCGCUGCCUACUCAGCCUGUCCGCCCACUGCCUGCUCGCCCAGCAGCCCUACUGGACAGGUUAGUAAUCCACUCCAGCUCUCCAAGGGAGGCUGGGUGGAUUUAAAAUUAAAAUAAAAUAAUAAUUUGUAAGUGUUGGGGGAAAUGUCUGUGUGUGUGUCUGUGAGUAAAUGUGUGUGUGUCUGUGAGUGAAUGAGUGUGUGUGUAUAUGUGUGUGUGUGAAUGUGUGUGUGUCUAUGAGUGUGUGUGUGUGUCUGUAAGUGUGUGUCUAAGUGAAUGUGUGUGUGUGUGUGUGUGUCUGUAAGUGUGUGUCUAAGUGAAUGUGUGUGUGUGUGUGUCUGUGAGUGAAUGUGAGUGUGUGUGUGUCGGUCAGUGAAUGUGUAUGUGUCGGUCAGUGAAUGUGUAUGUGUCGGUCAGUGAGUUUGUGCGUCUGUCAGUGCGUGCGUCUGUCAGUGAGAGUGUGCGUCUGUCAGUGUGUGUCCGAGUAAUAGUGUGUAUAUGUGUGUGUGUGAAUGUGUGUGUGUCUAUGAGUGUGUGUGUGUGUGUGUCUGUAAGUGUGUGUCUAAGUGAAUGUGUGUGUGUGUCUAUAUGAAUGUGUGUGUGUGUCUGUAAGUGUGUGUCUAAGUGAAUGUGUGUGUGUCUGUGAGUGAAUGUGAGUGUGUGUGUGUGUGUCGGUCAGUGAAUGUGUAUGUGUCGGUCAGUGAGUUUGUGCGUCUGUCAGUGUGUGUCCGAGUAAUAGUGUGUGUCUGUCUAUCAGUGUGUCAGAUCAGUGAGUGUGUGUCAUUGUUUGUCAGUGUAUAUGAGAGUGUGUGUCUGUCCUUGAGUGUAUGCGUCUAUACCGUGAGUGUGUGCGUCUGUCAGUCAAAGUGCGGCCUUGACUGGAAGGGGUGGGGGAAAUUUAAAUUAAGGGGGGGUUGCCCGAGCACCGUCCUGCCUAGGGCAGCACAGAUCCUAAAUACACCACUGCCUGUCCUGUUACUAAGGCUCCAUGCAGAACCAUCUUCAGUUUUUAUGAGACCCUAGGCAAAACCCUGUCAAUUUCUCUCCUGCUUUUUCCCUACACAUAAUCCCCGUGUCACUUACUCCACAGCGUAAACGCUCUUAUUCUUUUUCAGAAUAACCCAAAUCCUUCCUCUUCUUCUCAGACAUACAUUUUCCUAUCCUCAGCUUCCCUUUGUUUCUCAGACCCACAGCCAUCCGUUCCUUACCUUCCCAAUCCUCUUUAUUAUCAAAAGACUCUUGCUUAUCAGCCCUAAUUUUCCAAAUUAUCCUGUCUUUUGUUUUUUCUACAUCCUGUUUAAUAGACCCUAUCUUUAUUAUCUCUCAGCCUUCUAAGCCCUUCCACUCAUAAAGUCUAUUUUCUUUUUCACUUCCACUUUCUCUCAGAUACUAAUUCAUGCCUAUUCUCAGAUAUAAACCUUAUACCAGCAACCUUCCCAAAAUCUCUGCUCAAAGACCUUAGUUAUCACUUCAACCUUAAAAUUCUGUCAGUAUUUUUGAUGAAGAGGAAUCCAUCCUUGUUUUCAGUUUACACCUAACAUUUUCACUAUUGCUGUUAUCCUAUUCGAAUCCACCUAAUCCAGACUCAUGCCUUAUUAACCCCUUAAGGACCAAACUUCUGGAAUAAAAGGGAAUCAUGACAUGUCACACAUGUCAUGUGUCCUUAAGGGGUUACAACUCUCUUUCUUUUAGAACAGCCCAGUCUUCACUCAAAAAUACUUAUGCAGCAUCCAUCAUAUAACCUAUUUUGCAAGGCUGUCUUGUUUCUCCUUCCUCAUGUUACAUUUAAAUAAUGAAAUUGUCUUCAUUGUGUGUCCUGGAACUCUGAAUCAUUAACUUCGUCUCAACUUUUUUCUGAAUCAGUUAUGAGUCUUUAGAGGAUGUGGUGGAAUUAAAACAAGAGAUGAGAGGCUGUGGGAGAAGAUUGGACUGAUAUGAAUCUGUGAGCAUAGAACUACAGGACUUUGUAGAAUAGAAAAGCAUUGUUGACUACAUGUCUAAUGCAAUGAGGCAAUUUAUUAAAGAGAUGCUAUAGGCACCCAGGCCUAUACUUACAUUGCAGGACUUAGACUGCCUCUAAUGGCUGACAAUCAGACAGCCACUAGAGGCACUUCCUGAUAGUUAAGCUACUUUUGGUUGCAUAACUGACAUUGAGCAAGGCCUUCUUCACCUCUUGUCUCUGUACAUAUUUUUGCAAGUCAACUACUUGUUGUCAAUUAUUUCCAUUCUAUGAUUGGAAAGCACAGUGGGAUUUGUUGGUGCUUUAUGAAUAAUAAUAAUAAUAAUAAUAAUAGAGAACUAUUGCUUCAUUUGUCAAUAGAAGUCCACUUUGUGGAGUAGAGGUUGAUAUGGUCAGAACAGAUCUCUGUCCAGUAUUUUGAUUCGUGAUUCUGUGUAGGUUUGUCAAAUGUUUACAUUUUUAUGAAAUAAUAAGAAUCAUCGGAUUAUAUUCCUAAAGUGAAAUAAUUCAGAAAUAUGUGUUUAGGGCGUUAGCUUUCAUUUAUUUGGAUGGAAGUGCCUGCUGGCUGUAGAGCCAAAGUAAACCUGUAGAGCCAAUGGAGGCCCUUACAAUACAGAGGCACCUUUGAUAUAACGUGACCCACUCAGAGAAACUACAUGGGAGUUGAUAUUUGUGCUUCUGCCACCUCUUUUAUGUGCACAGUGAUUUGAACAGAACUGCGUGACAUUAUGUUGUAUCUAUGACCUCAGUCCAAAAAGAUGCUUCCAGUCCCUUUUAUAGGAAUAUUACAAUCUGUUAUUUUUUUGUUGUUGUUGUUUGAUCCUGUUUACAAGUGUACUCUUAUGCACUGCAGAAACAGUAAUAAAAUGCAAAGAAGUGUUUUUUUGUUUUUUUUUGCAUGGACAUUUGUUUAAUAGCAAGUUAUUUUUGUGCAUUAAACUUGCAACACACUGAAAUUAAACCAGCAGCACAUACGAUUUUUUAUGCAUAUGUUUAAUAUUUGUAGGUGGAGACUGUCCUUUCAAAUUAUGUCUUUGUGCUUUGUGCUUUUGUACUGAUGUUGGAAUAAUUUCAAGGUGUUGCAACACAAGCCAUUCUGGCACUUUUUAGUAUGUUUUUGUUCAACCAACACACAUUAUGUAUCAUUUUUAAGUGACAGAUAGUGAUCUCUACUAAAACAGAAAUUUUAUUAUUUGUUUAUCAAUAGUAUAAGACAUUUUAUCAAUAAUAUAUUCCAAUUACUCAAAUGUAUUUUUGUGAUUGUGUUUUCCAUAUGCAGACAGUGUUUUUGUAAGAAUUACAUUAUCUUCUUAAGGUAAUGUGUUACUCACUCCGAAUGCAGUGAUGAUCCCAAUCUGUUGUCGUUGUUAUUAUUAUUAUUUUUUUAUUCAUUCUUAUUUUUUCUGCAACUUGUAACCACUUAAGGACUUUUUAUUAUCAGUGUUGUAAUGUGUUAACAGUUGAUGCAAUUUUGUAUUAUUAUUUCUGUAUUUACAUAACUUCAGUUUCAAAAGACAAAAUAAAGAUCUCCAGCAUGGCCUUUAAUAGUUUAGUUUGUACAAAACAAGAGCAGCUAAAUAAACAUUCUCAAAAUAUUGCUAAAUCAUGACAUUUCCCCUCCCAAAGAAUAUAUUUUUUCUAAUUGGACAUGGAGUAUUUCAACAUGGAGUAUUUCAACAUGGAGUAUUUCUUUUACAAUUUGCACAUUUUCCCCAGUAUUUCCCAAUAUAUUGUGACUGUGGAUUUUGGGCAUAGAGAAUAUCUUUCUGUAAAAAAAUAAAAAUACAAUGUAUGUUCAGCUAUAUUGGAAUGUUACACAUUCUUUAUAUUUACACCAAGAACAAUGACUAGUCCAUGUUCAUUAACCCCUUAAGGACACAUGACAUGUGUGACAUGUCAUGAUUCCCUUUUAUUCCAGAAGUUUGGUCCUUAAGGGGUUAAUGAGCUGGACACUGAUAAAUAGAUAAUACUGUAGUGAAACUAUUACAAAUGAACAAGUCACACUCUACUUCAAUAAAAAUAGAUUUACAUUAUUCCAUAAAAAUCCAUUGUUGUAUUGAGCAUAAUAAGUUUGGGCAUCUGCAUCUUGCACUACCUUUAUAACAUUUCAAGAAAUAGACCAUAAUACUGCAUUGUGAGCUGUAUUUUCAUGUAAAGACUUGUUGUUUUAUUUUUGCUUCGCUGUUCAGUUUUAUUUUCUCUUUUAUGGAGGUAGCUUGAUCACAACAAGCCUCUCCUUAUUGUUUGUUCCCAAGGCAGUAACAUGAUACCAGUUUCACUAUAGGCUACAGGCUCACUGUUGUAGGACUAACCAUAUGGUUGUAACAAGCCCUGGGGCCCUCCUCUCCCAUAUGGAAUGCUAGAGGUCAGCUUUUCAUAUACUAGUAAUGUAGCUAGCAAUCUCCUUGGGGUAUUAUUCUCCUUCAGUGAUCUCUUCUCUAAGGCAGGUGGCCUGGGUACAGAAAAUUAGGGCGUUUCUUUGCUGAGCUCAUAAAACAAAUAAUAGUGUUGUUUUAGCCCUGUAAUUUGAUAACUAUAUAUCGGCAUACAUUAUUGAUUGGAAUCAAUAUGCAUAGUAUUCCAUCCCAGCCAGUUCAUACGUCUUGAUAACAAAAGGCAUAUUGAAAUUAUUACUAUAAUUAUUAUUAUUAUAUUUAUAUAGCGCCAACAGAUUCUGCAGUGCUUUACAAUAUUAUGAAAGGGGGGAUUUAACUAUAGGACAAUAACAAGAAAACUUACAGGAACGAUAAGUUGAAGAGGACCAUGCUCAAACGAGCUUAAAUGCCAUUCGAUUCUGUAUAAUAUCAGCUGAACUAAACACAGUUUGUUUUGGUAACAUGGAUUUUAUGUUGUAAAAUAGUUUUUUUAAAAUUAUGAGUAAAACAAUAUUUCAACAGAAAAAUAAAUCUAUUGCUUGCAUAAUUUUUCAAACCCUAUGAAGUCAACUGUUUAACAUUGUUCCAGUUGACUUAAAACGGCUCUGUCAUGGGCUGAACCUUUUUUCAUGUCCCAUUGCCACUGACUUUCCUAGUCCUUAAUACCUCCCCAGUUUAUUUCUUUUUUACUUAUGACCCUUAUUUUUAUAUUUAUUAAUUUUUAUGUUUGGUCACCAGUUCUUUAUUUGUCCAUGCACCGCCAUUUUGAGGAUUGUGGCAGUAACGAUUAGUCUUUGACCUCAUCUGUUCAUACUCAGCCCCGCAAUGCAAUUCCCAUACUUGCCCGCAGCACUGCUGAGCAACCAGCCUGGCAGCCAAAAUCAAUGGAGCUUGUACUGGGCAUGCACAAGACUUGGAGAAGAACAGUUGAUGAAUCCUGAAAAUAGAAUGGAUGAGGGACACAACAGGCAGAUACGUUUUGUGGGUAGUGGGUUUGACAAAGGAAGUGGAGAUAGCUUAAACUCCACCCUUUGUCAAACUUUGUCAUGAUUUUUUUUCUGUUUGUUUUUUUACGAAGAUCAGAAAGGAAGAAAAGAAGACCAGAUCCAGAGAGAAGAAGAGAGGCAUACAUUUAAGAAAGGAAUGUUUGGUGUGACUCUAAUAUUUGUCCCUCCAUUAAAUGUCAUCAUGUAUUUUCAGGAUAACAACCAUACUGCCACAGGAUUGUUGGUCAGGUUUUGAACAGGAAGGAAAAUGAGAACCAGAAAGCAUUCUACAGAAAAAGCAACACAGAUGCAAUAAUUAGGAAAGGGCUACAAUAUAAAACCCAAGUUUGGUUACCCUUUUAACACAUGUGGAUCAAUAUCAGGAAGUGAAUGUUGCAUCAGAGCACCUUGGUUCUACCAAGAAAAUGAUAGGACUUUAACCUCAUUAUUUAAUCAUGAAGGGUACUUUAGAGAAAAGCAACAGAGGAUGUGUAUUCUCUUUAACUUUAUUCAUCACUUACUUGUUUCUCCAGAUUGCGUCCUGCAAGUCACUCCUUGAUUUCUCCUUAGUAUGGCACUCAGCGACACUCACUGCUUAUACAAGGAAGGCUGCAGACCUCUUAUGACAACACUGCUCUACCUCACAUGCAUGCAUUCAGGUCUCCUAAACAAAGUCCACAUUAGGAAUUCAGAUGAAAGCUAAUGACACUGGGAUGUGACAACAUUAUCAGUGAGUGGUCAAGGUAGGUAACCACAUAAGUGACCUUCUCCUGAUUCUCCUGAGGACUCCAGGAUGGUGCCUAGUCUUUUAACCUCUUUAAGGACACAUGACAUGUAUGACAUGUCAUGAUUCCCUUUUAUUCCAGACGUUUGGUCCUAAAGGGGUUAACUGACUUCCUGAUCAGUUUACGGCUUUAUUGUUUUCAGGAUAUACAACACCAUUUCUGAAACUUUGCCACAACCGUUUAUCCUAGAUCUUUUAAACUCUUGUAUUUGCCCUUAAGAACUUUCCUUUUUUAGUAGCAUCUUGGCUGUCAUAUAACUCUCCAGGUAUGUCCUGUGUCAUUCCAGUCUUUCCAGUCAAUGCCAUCUUCUAAAGCUUUGGCAAUCUAAUUACUGUAUAUUGGCCUCCACUCCCAGCAAAUCUUACACAUAGAGGGCAGGGAACCACCGAAUUCAGGGUCUGGGAGUGGUACAUUAGCCUACCAUUAAAAUAACCUAAUAACAUAAUUCUGGUCCACAUGGGAUUAUGGCAAGAAAGUAAUCGUUUAUUAAAUAGUUUCACAUGAGCGCAUGUCUGCAGAUUGCUAAAUCAUGGAAGGGUAAAAAUAGUUUUUUUGGUCAAAAUUCAAAGUAAAGUGCAAAAUUACACUAUCCUUGCAUCAAGACUACCACUGUAGUAAAAUAUUGUGGUAUUAUUAUGCUGUUGGCAUACGUUUUGCCAGCUGGUUAAUGAUCUCAAGCAAGCCCCCCUUCCCCCACUUGCUAUUGAUUAUAAUGAAUUUGGAAUUCAAAUUGCAAACUUUAGGCAAAAAGUACUGAUUUUAAAAAAUUCUCCAGCUCUGCUAUAGUCACAGCUUGCUUUUUUUUUUUUUUCAUAGUUUCAUACCUCCCAACUCCAGUGUCCAAGGAAUCAGGAAAGGGGCAAAGGGGGCAGGGCCCAUUAUGUAAUUGUGUCACUGGCUCUGCCCAAAGGUGGGGGCCCAUUUCGAUAGAAGCAAGUCAACAAAAAUUACUGAUGGGUCAGCUUAGUGUGAAUGCAUGACAGGCUGACUGCUAAUCAUGAAAGGCCAGCCCACUCAGGGCAGGGAGCACUGUUUAAAAACGUUCUGCAGGGUCCUUGUGCCCUGAACAUAGCAUGGUGUGCCUACUGAUGAGCUCAUGCAAUGUUUGUUGGGGACAGUUCCCUGUUGUCUCCAAAACGGAGACACCAGGGAACUAAAUUGGUACAAUGGAACAGGACCAAAAAAUCAGCACUGUCCUGACAAAAUUGGGAUGGUUGGGAGGCCUGUGAUUUAGUGUUUAGUGAAUAGCUCCAAAAAAGAAAAGAAAUACUAAUAAUAUCAUAUAUCAUUGAAAUGUCAUGAAAUAUUAUUAGGAACACAUAAGGAGUUUACCUCUAUAGUUUAAUUUCUGCCCACACUGCAUGUGGGAAAUUGCUCUGAGAAUCAUAGCUUGACUUUGCUAAAAAAAACAAACUGGCGUCUAGAACACACAUUUAAAUAAUCUGUAUAUACAUGAUGAUAGGUAAACUCUGUGUAUUACACUAAUUAGCCACAACCAAAACAACUCUGAUGCAUCUAGGCAUGGACUCCACAAGACCUCUGAACCUCUCCUGUGGUAUCUGGCACCACGAUAUUAGCAGCAGAUCCUUUAAGUCCUGCACAUUGUGAGGUGGGGCCUCCAUGGAUUAGACUUGUUCCAGCACAUCCCACAGGUGCACAACUGGAUUUAGAUAUGAGGAAUUUGGAGGCCAAAGCAACACCUUGCGGAAAUAGGCCACUGCCAUCAGGGAACACCAUUGCCAUGAAGAGGUAUACAUGGUCUGCAACAAUUUCCAAGUAGGUGGUAUGUGUCAAAGUAACAUUUACAAACCCAUUCGAGGGAGAACAUUACCCAGAGCUCCACUGGCCUGCCUUCUUCCCAUAGUGCAUCCUGCUGCCAUCUCUUCCCUAGGUAAAUGACGCACACACACCUAGCCAUCCACCUGAUCAAACAGAAAAUGUGAUUCCUCAGACAAGGCAACCUUCUUCCAUUGUUCCAUGGUCCAGUUCUGAUGCCUACGCUCCCAUUGAAGGCGCUUUCAGUGAUGGACAGGGUUCAUAUCGGGCACUCUAACUAGUCUGUGGCUACGUAGCUUUAUAUGGGCAAACUGCGAUGUUUUGACACCUUUCUGUCAUGGCCAGAAUUAUUUUUUUCAGCAUUAUUAUUUCAGAAUUAUUUUUUUCAGCAAUUUGAAAUAUAAAUAUAGUAGCUCUCCAAUGUGAUCAGACCAGACGGACUAGCCUUCGGUUCCCAUGUGCAUCAAUGAACCUUGGGCACCCAUGACCCUGACACCGGUUCAUUGGUUGUCCUUCGUUACACAAAUUUUAGUAGGUACUAAUCAUUGCAUACCCUGCAAGACUUGCUCUUUUGUGGAUGCUCUGACAUAGUCGUCUAGCCAUCACUAUUUGGCCCUUGUCAAAGUCACUCAUAUCUUUUCGAUUGCCCAUAUUUCUCUCAUCCAAAACAUGAAAUUCUAGAACUUACUGUUCACUUGCUGCCUAAUAGAUCCUACUACUUGACAGGUGCCAUUGUAACAAUAUAAUCAAUGUUACUCACUUCACCAGUCAGUGGUUUUAAUAUUGUGGCUGAUCAGUGUAUAACCAUAUGUAAUAAAAUAAAUCACCCCGUGAUUAUUAGGCUUGCUAACUUGGACAUUUCUACUUGCUACACAAAAAUUCCAUUAACAGCUGGCUGGCAGGCAUGCAGGAUGGGAGGCUUAAUUGCUAAAGUGGGGGAGGGAAGGAGCCAUUAUUGUUGAAGACAAAUUCAAUAUAAAGGAGAGGAAAAGAGCUAUAUAUCUGGGUAGGAGAUGAAAGCGGACAUUGUGGCAAUAAGCAAGAGUUGGUAUUUGAUUAUAAAUGAAUGUGAGUGGUAAAUGCAAUAGGAUGUUUUCAGAUUCACAUGGCCACUGUCACUAUUCAGAAAUACAUUGUUGCCAUUCAGCAAUGAGAAUGCUUAGUUCCUUCCCCAAAAAACAGUGAAUCCUAUAUACAGCUGUUUUGUUUUGUUUUGCCAGACAACUACAUGUGGAAAUAAUACACAGCUGAUAAUAUAUAUAUAUAUAUAUAUAUAUAUAUUUAUAUAUAUAUAUAUAUAUAAAUAUAUAUAUAUAUAUAUAUAUAUAUAUUAGAGGUUUUAAAGUUUGCAAUAACUUGUUUGAAAAUGUAUUGUAAAAUGCAUAUGCAUGUGUUUUAGAAUAAAUUGUCCAUAACACUAACAAAUAUAUCUCAUGUAUUGUGACAUAUAAGGCCCAGAUUUGAGCUGCAUAAAUAAAUACCAUAAGCCAAAAGUAUGCAAGUUUAUAGCAUUAUAGAUUAUAGCAUUAUAGACAAAUUAAACCUUACUUAGUAUUUACUUAUCAUCAGUAACUGUCGUAUCUCUCUUCCUUAGGCCCAAACCCUCAUCCAUCACCCCAACAAGAAGGCCAUUUAUUUUACUCAGCUCUUUUAAUAGCAAGAAAACGUUAUGCCAGAAUACCAGAGUAUUGCAGUAUGCAAUGAAACCUUUUUUAUUGGACUAACAUAAUAUUUCAAAGACAAGCUUUCAAGAGUUUUCCUCUCCUCUUCAGGUCUGAAGCAAUACAGAUCAAUCUGAUAGAGUUUAACACUUAAAACAACUGUUGUUAGAGAAGGGGAGGUGAGUGGGGUGUCAUAAAUAGCAGAACAUGUGCCUGAAAGUGAAAGGUGCAAGUUGACUGAGAAUAGCCAGACAAAGUAAAUAAACAGAAGAGAGUCAAUAAGCUAGUUGAAAAGUCUUCUGCUAUUUAUGACACCCUACUCACCCCCACCUGCCCCCCUUCUCUAAAGUUAAUUGUUUUAAGUGUUAAACUCUAUCAGAUUGAUCUGUAUUGCUUCAGACCUGAAGAAGAGAGGAAAACUCUCAAAAGCUUGUCUUUAAAAUAUUAUGUUAGUCCAAUAAAAAAGUAUCAUUGCAUACUGCAAUACUCUGGUAUUUUGGCAUCUUGUCUGCUGGACUAAUACGAUAUAUAUAUACAUAUGUCGUAUUAGUCCAGCAGACAAGAUGCCAAAAUACCAGAGUAUUGCAGUAUGCAGUAUAUAUAUACUUUAAUUAUUAUUAAAAAUGGACUGGACAACAAAGGGUGUGACAGUGACAUAAAGGCGGUAGGAUCUUCCAGAAUAGGGUGGUCCAAUCUGAUAAGGUACAUGUCAGUUUCUCAUACAUACCUACUCAGGGCUGCUCAUGCACAUAGCAAUGUUAAAGCACUCUUGCGUGGGCUGAAUGUACUGAGUAACUAGUCAUGGUACAAGUGUGUCUAAUGAUGCACUUCCACUAACUAUUUUGGUGUCUAUGGUAUCCUCAGAAGUAGGAAAUCAUGGAACAAGCCUAGGACAGUGGGAGAGGAGCUUAAAAAUUGGAUUAUUCUUCCAAAUCCAGGAUUAGUUCGAGGUAUGGAAUUCUUGUAUUCUAGUCCCAGUUUUCUGGCCGUACAGCAAAUACAGCAAAUGACAGUGCACCACUGCAGACAUCAACACAAGGUCUGCUUAGGACAUUCCCUACAUAAUGCAAUGAAAACUAGGAAAUGUAGUAGAAUCUAGUAGAAGUCAUUAACAAGUAUUAGUACCAGAUAGCCAGGGUAGUAAGGGUAUUAUAUAUUGUUAAAGCUGAAGUCCUUUAUGUGUGGAGAGUCUUUUUUUCAUGUUACAAAAAGUUCAGAUUUAAAUAGAAAUUGGCACUUUUAUCAAUUCACAUGGAUACACCCCCAUGGCUAUCAAUCAGACAAACAGUCCUGCUAUUUCCUGGUUUGGUUUGCUCACUGGAGCUAAACUCAUGAGGCAGGCAAUAGCUCACAGCACCUGCCUUGCAAAGUCUUCUCAUUGAGCUGCUUUAGGAAAGUUUGGUCUGGGAAGAACGUGAAAGCUUGCAAAUGCUGCAGACACGAGAACUGCAGCUUUUGCAAGUGGGUUUAUAUAUACCCCUGAAUGAAAAAAUGCACAAUUAAAUGUAUGCACUUUUCAUUGGGGUAUAUCUCUGAAACAGUGAUUUUUACAAUAAUUUUACAUGGGCAGUGGAGUGUUUUUUUAAGGUGCCAUGGGCUUGAAAAACUAUGGGAUAGGAUGCAGAGUAAGUUAUCUAAGUGUGGAAACAUUUUGUUACAAUAAUUUAUAUAACAUUAGUGCCCUGUGGAUCUCAGCUCUGAACACUGAAUUGUAUUUGUUUUUCUAUAGCUAUCUAUAGCUAGAUGGUAGGAGUUUUAUUGAGUGGUAAUAUGUCUUGCCGUGUCGCAUUGAAUUAUUUAUAUCACAAUUGCUACUUCCAGUUUCAAGACAGUACGAUAAGUGUACAUGUGCAGAGAGUCUCCAUAGGACCUUUAAAAUAAUUUUAACUUACCAGAAUACAGCAUGGUAAAACAACACUCACAGAAACUCAUCUUCUGCAAAUUGUACUAAACAUCAUUAAAAUAAAAUUUUAAUUAAUAAUAAUAUAUGAAGAAAAAGCCCAAUUCAAUUAGAAAAUUAAAAAUUCUGCACAAAGAAUUUGCUAUUCUGAUUGUAAAAUUAUCCUUUAAUUACACUUUUCUGGCAGAACUGUUUAGAAAAUGAAUGUAAGACAUAUUGUAUGAAAAACUACGUCCGACUUGCUUCCUUACCACAUAAGGUCACCCCUAAUGUAACAUAUUUGUUGCACUUAUUCUGCACUCAUUUAAAGUGGUCCAUAGUAUUUGCAGUUGCCUUUGAUGUGUGUAUAUAUUUAUAUAAGUGUAUAUAUAUAUAUAUAUAUAUAUGUAUAUAUAUAUAUAUAUACACAUAUAUAUAUAUAUAUAUAUAUAAAACUAAGAACCGAGCUGUCCACCUCAAUGCUGCACUUUGGGCUGAUGAAUAUAAUCCAAGACAAGGUUUUGAUAAAAAUCUCGACAGUAGACAGAAACAUUGACUGAAGUUAUAAAUUUUGGUGUAUUAAAUAAGAAAGUUUGAGUGAAUAAAACCCCUCUGUGUGCGCCUGAUCUUGGAUUAUAUAGUGUGUGUACACACAUAGAUAUAUAUAUAAAAUACGGUGUGGUUAGAUAAAAACACAAUAUAUCUCCUGAAAGGAUUAUGCAAAUUUAAAAAUGAAUGCUGUGUAUCAUCUGCAUAUUUCAAUUGGAACUUUGGGAAAAGGCUCUUGGCACAAUAAUUCUGAGAAAUGUUUCACCAAUUACCCAGAAUUCCCAGCUCGACAUGCAAGUCAACACAGACUUGGAUCCAGUUCAGACUUCAUCCUGCAUUUCUUCAAGCACCCUUAGUAAGGGAGCACUAGAUCACAACCCAUGAUUUGGUUUUAAAGGAUUUAUCUCCAGGGAAUAGUUAAAGAAACAACUGACUUUAUUUAGGGAAAGUUGAUUUUAAUUCAUACUGAUACCAGGCAAAGGCAAAAUACAUGUAUAGGAUUUUCAUCUGGUUAUUAAAUCUGUACAAUCAUGUACUACUACAGUAAAAUGUAUGCUCACUAAUGCAAUUGUUUUAUUGACCAUUUUAAAAAAUGAUUUAUUAGAUCAUAAAAGAUAAAUACACGUUCUGACAUUAUUUGCAUUGAUUUUAGCUUUCAACAAAACAAAUAGUUCAGAAACAGUGUGUAUAAUUUAGAAACCCCAGGUUAUUCCGCAGUGCUCUACAUCAUUAUAAAAGGGGCAUAUUUAACAAUAAAUGAGACAAUUACACAAUGUUACAGGAACACUACUAGGUUACUGCUUGUUUUCGCAGGGUCCUAUUUCAACUUAAUUAGGUGAAACUACUCUUAAUAUUAUACAUAGCUAUCUAAGAAAAAUAAAAAAUAAAAAAAAUGUUUUUUAGUGGAUUGCAGUUUGUUUUCCAGCCGUUAUAUUUAAAGGUGGCGCUGUUUCUACAGACAAGGUUUAUAAUGGCUUUGCUGUCUCCAUAAAAACAUUUAUCAAUCACUUGUACAAAUAAGAAGUAAGGCACCCAGAACCACUGUAAAUAAAUGUUGUGGCUUUAUUAACGUAAGAAUAAAACAACUCUGCUUAAAGUAGCCUUAUUUACGCAACAGAAAAAUAUCUACAGCUGUUGAUGUGACACUUCUUAUUUACCCAAACAAUUAAUUGAGAUUCCUAACCUUAGUAGCAAUGGGAACUCUCAAUAUUGCUCUGUUGCCAGUACCUUUGCCAGACUGUAAGGAUCAGCCCAGUAGUAAUUCUCAUGAUAUGUGAAGUGUUAUCUUGAAAACCCGGUGUGCAGCGGUCCAUAGAGGUCUGGAAUGGAGCUCAGCAGAAGUGCACCUUACAGUCAAGGUACAUAUUAAUGAUCUGUCUAUAUCUAUGGAUUAUGCCAUUGCCUGUCCACACACAUAUACACUCUUGCUUUCUCCCUGUCUAAUCAUGUAUACAGAGGAACAGAAGAUGCUGUUACCUGUACACAACAGAUCCCAUUCCUUUCCCAGCUCAGUCCUCAUCAUGAAUCAGUAUCCCUGUCUGGGUAGACUUUGCUCUGCAGGGCACACUAUGCCCAAAGAUACAUUCCAAAUUGUAGAUCUUUUAUGUUCUGUUCUUCCAUCGAUCUCUUUAUCAGACUCUCCUCCAGUUUCUUCUGUUAUAAACCAGUAUCUGGAUUUCCUCCUGCACUUGGGGCUCUCUUCAUAGUAUGUUGUAUAUCCUACUUUAUCACAUGUGUUUUAUCCCAUUUAACUAUUGUACAAUGUAUCCUGUUUUCCUCUGCAUGUCUUCUCUUUAGUAUUCCAACUGCUUUUCUCUUCCUGUUUUUACAUGACCCCUCUCUCUGUCUUGUCCAAACCGUCUCCUUCCUAUUCAUGACUAUUUUGCUACCUUCUCUGGCUCUGUGAGUGCUCUCUGCUGAUUGCAAAGAGUCUGCUCUCCCCCCCCCCCCUUCUCUCUCUCACUUUUUUGGGUGGCGGUGGGGGUGGGGGAGGUGAUAUAUGUGGGGGUGUAAAAUGAAGGGUCUGAGGGGAAAAAAAAUUCAAAGAAAGUCACCAAUGAAAAGGUAAAAAUGUAGUAAUGCAAGAAAGCCUGUUAAAUGGAACACUGAGGGAUAGACAAAAAUAAAUCGAGAAAUGUAUGACAGAAAAAGAAACAAGAGAAUGUCAUUAUCAGGAUAAAAGAUUCAUAUAUUAUCAAAAGAAGCAAAUAAUUCAUCCUGAGAAUCCUGCAGAUUAACAUAUGAUCAACACAUGUUCAAAUCAUAAAAACAAGGCAUACUCUAUGUAGCAUUUAAGAGAACAUCAGUUUCUGGGAAAUGACUAAUCUUUGACACUGCAAUUCUUGUGAUCAGUGAACGUGCAUCAUAGGAAACAUAGUCCACAACAACUGCAGUGCCACUGACUGUUGGUGGGUGUUUUUUUUCUGUAAAGUACAAAUCAUAUUAUUCUCAGCAGCUGCAAUACCAUAAAUUGCCUAUCUCUAAUUAUCUGAGCCCACAUUUUCUAUGCAGAUGUGUUAAUGAGUAUGUUGAGCCUUUUAUGGUCAGACAUCAUCUGCAAUGCACAUCUCUUUUGAAAUGGAAAUGACUAAGCAGCAUACUCUUGCACUGUAUCUAUAUGUCUUAACUCUCCUUUGUAGAACAAACCUGAUGGUUGUUACCACUUUUACCAAUGUGAAUGUAUGUUCUUAAAUGUCUGUGCGUAAAAUAACCUUACAGAAAGGCAACACAUACAGAGUUACUCACUAAACACAGAAUAUUAGCUAAUUAAACUCAAAUUUGCUAAAUGUAGGCUAAAAUAGACAAAUAGUGACCAUAGGCAAGUUGGAGACGUUUUCCAAAAGACUUACUUUAGCCUCAAUUUUGCAAUCGGGGGUUAAUAUGCUAAAAUGUGGGGUUUAGUGAAUAAACGCCUCUAGUGCCUUUGAAUACAAGGAUAAUAACACGGAGAUUACAUCUACAAGCAAGGAGGGGCCCUCUGGAAAAUUCCCCAGUAGGGUGAAAUGAAGCCAGUGGAUGGGAGGGAGCUAACAAUAUUUGCUCUGUCUACAAGCAGCUUGUUAUGUAUCUGCUUACAGCCAUUUACAGGGAGGGGUGGCAAUAGCUACCAGCAUGUCAUCUUAAUCCUGACAACACAGCCGCACUGCAAUCCCUGGCGAGAAUUUAUUAUACAACCAAUGCAUUUUUUUAUUUGACAUUGUUUCGAUAUUGUCUCUGGUGCAAUAACAUAUAAUCUACGGUGCUGUUCUGUGAAUAAGCAUACACACGUUUAGUGACAAAAGAAAUUAUGUUUACUGUUGUUUCUGUUCAAAGUAAGUCGUUUAUCAUAUACAUAUCCUUUAUUUGAAAUCUGCAUUGUGCAGCACGGCAGAAUAUGUUGCAAACUUACAAAUAAUAAAAAAAAGGUAAAAGUGCAGUAGGUUGAGGUGGUCCAAUCAUGAUCACAUUGUCUGGAAGGAAAGAUUGAUUACCACAUUCUUUAUAAACCAUCUGCGUACUCUGUUGGCACUGUAUAAAUGAUAAUAUUGUACUGGAAGCAUCUUCUAAUCAAGAUUCCAUAGCAUUUGGAUAAUUGAUCCUAGAAUGUGCAAUACAAGGAGCUUGCUCAGGCACAGACAUCUUGCAAUCCAGUACCAGGUAUUCAUUAACUCUCUGAGUGCAUGAGGUGUACCCAAAUGCAUUACCUUUCAAGUGUUAGGAACACCUCUGGCACUCAAAGGUUCAAACAGUGGGAGGGAACAGGUUGCAACUAUUAGUCUUGUGUGUUCAUGUACUUUCCCUAUGAACCUGUAAAAUCAGUAUAUCCUUUUAAAGGGGAGCUAAUAGCAAUAGAGAAUUGACAGAGCACUCUGUAGGUUCCCAAACAUGGCCCUCUCCAGGCUCAUGGUACACUAAGCUGGGGAUCCCAUUAAGUAUCCCAAUAUUAUUAUUUUUUUUAUUAUUAUUAUUGCCAUUUAUAUAGCACCAACAUAUAGCAGCAAACCAAAUAGAAGCUGGACAACACGAUCUGAAUGUGGUGUCUUUCCACAAUAAAAUAUCCUCCAUAGACAGAUCAUGCUGCCCUGCUUAUUUUUGCUAUACCUAAAGGGGAACUGAUUCUUACACUGAUUUCUAAUAUUAUGGUUAUUUAUCCACCAUAAUUAUAAUUCAAUUAUUAAUUCGCUAACAUAUAUUUUUUAGGUGUGAAAAAUAAAAUGAAACGAAGAAAGUCUCACACAUCUUAAUCCUCCAACUAAGCGCCAUCAUAGUUCCCUGCCAGUCAUUGCUGUAACCUCUGUCUUUUGUACCAAGCAACCAGCAUACAGAAAGCAUACAAAGAAGAAGAAAAGAAAGAAAAUAGUGUUUCUAUUUCUACAAUGUAUCUGGCUGUGCCUGGACUGAACUGUAUUAAUUAUGUAAUUCACUAAAACUUUAAGUUAAAUAUAAAAGAAAACAGAGCAACAGACAAAAAAAGUUAAAGGAGUACCCCACACCCAGUAAAAAUUUAAGUACAGUUUUUAUGGGGGCAGGAGUGUCUGAGUAUCGUAGAACCUUCACUGUUUAAACCAGGGGUGCCCAAAAGUUAGAUCCUCCAUGAUGCUUUUCAUGCCUUUACAAUGCUUUUAGAAUGACACAGCAUCAUGUUAGGCACCCAUGGUUUAAACCAUGCUCCAAAGGUUUGACCCAAAGUUGAUCCUCUAGCAUCUGACUUCUCUAUUGUCCUUCCUCCCAGCCGCUACACACUCCAGGAAGGUUUGUAAUAGGAUGAGUGAGUCAGCUGACUCUGUUAGCCUAUUACGGACCACUAACUGAAAAUAGGUUGCACUACUACUCUGAAUAGAUGGCCAUUGACAUGAAAUUCUCAAAAGUUAUAGGUGAUUUUCAAUGUUGUAUUCAAUGGUGUAAGUUUCAAAUAUUUGAUGGUUCCCCUUUAAAUCAGUUGCAUACUCUAAAAUAAAAAACAAAAAACAAGUGUUUUCCCCCUUUUUUUUAUUUACUAUGAUCAAAUAAGUGUACUUACUGAUGACCAGAUGAAAUUUUUUUUAUAUGCUUAAAA